rnacentral:tRNA from 1 species
GCCUUCGUGGUGUAACGGUAGCACACUCGGCUCGUACUCGCGAAGUCAAGGUUCGAGUCCCGACGAGGGCU